UGCAAGGAAUGUAAACACAGGGACUAAGAGA
rnacentral:piRNA from 1 species